rnacentral:misc_RNA from 1 species
AACGGUCUAUACCUGCGGUACCUGCGGAAGGAUCAUUAGUGAACGCCCUCACGGGCUUAUAACUAUUCCAAACCUCUGUGAACCGUGCCCUUCGGGGCUAUUUUACAAACAUGGUGUAAUGAACGUCAUAUAUCAUAACAAAACAGAACUUUUAGCAACGGAUCUCU